rnacentral:rRNA from 1 species
UACGAAGGGAGCUAGCGUUGUUCGGAAUUACUGGGCGUAAAGGGCGCGUAGGCGGUUUGGUAAGUCAGAUGUGAAAGCCCCGGGCUUAACCUGGGAGGUGCAUUUGAAACUGUCAGACUAGAGAUCGAGAGAGGAAAGUGGAAUUACGAGUGUAGAGGUGAAAUUCGUAGAUAUUCGCAAGAACACCAGUGGCGAAGGCGGCUCACUGGCCCGAUACUGACGCUGAGGCACGAAAGCGUGGGGAGCAAACAGG